UACGUAGGGACCGAGCGUUGUCCGGAUUCAUUGGGCGUAAAGAGCUCGUAGGCGGCCACUCAAGUCGAAUGUGAAACCUCGAGGCUUAACCUCGAGCCUGCAUUCGAUACUGGGCGGCUAGAGUCUGGUAGGGGGAGUCUGGAAUUCCUGGGUGUAGCGGUGGAAUGCGCAGAGUAUCAGGAGGAACACCGGUGGCGAAGGCGGAUCUCUGGGCCAUUACUGACGCUGAGGAGCGAAAGCGUGGGGAGCGAACAGG
rnacentral:rRNA from 1 species